rnacentral:rRNA from 1 species
CCAGCAGCCGCGGUAAUUCCAGCUCCGCCAGUGUAUAUCUAUGCUGCUGCGGUUAAAAAGCUCGUAGUUGGAUCUACGUGUCAGAAGCCAGUCCACCUUAUGGGUGUGCACUGAUCUUCGGCACUGAAAGGAUGGUUCGCUCUUGGUGCUCUUAACCGGGUGUCUUGAGUGUCCAUCAAGUUUACUUUGAAAAAAUUAGAGUGCUUAAAACAGGCGGUUUGCCUGAAUAUUCGUGCAUGGAAUAAUAGAAUAGGACUUCGGUUUUAUUUUGUUGGUUUUAGAAACACGAAGUAAUGAUUAAGAGGGACAGACGGGGGCAUUAGUAUUGCGACGUUAGAGGUGAAAUUCUUGGAUCGUCGCAAGACUAACAA